UGGGGAAUUUUGGACAAUGGGCGAAAGCCUGAUCCAGCAAUGCCGCGUGUGUGAAGAAGGCCUUCGGGUUGUAAAGCACUUUUGUCCGGAAAGAAAUCCUUGGCUCUAAUACAGUCGGGGGAUGACGGUACCGGAAGAAUAAGCACCGGCUAACUACGUGCCAGCAGCCGCGGUAAUACGUAGGGUGCAAGCGUUAAUCGGAAUUACUGGGCGUAAAGCGUGCGCAGGCGGUUUGCUAAGACCGAUGUGAAAUCCCCGGGCUCAACCUGGGAACUGCAUUGGUGACUGGGCAGGCUAGAGUAUGGCAGAGGGGGAUAGAAUUCCACGUGUAGCAGUGAAAUGCGUAGAGAUGUGGAGGAAUACCGAUGGCGAAGGCAGCCCCCUGGGCCAAUACUGACGCUCAUGCACGAAAGCGUGGGGGAGCAAACAGGAUUAGAUACCCUGGUAGUCCACGCCCUAAACGAUGUCAACUAGUUGUUGGGGACUUCAUUUCCUUAGUAACGUAGCUAACGCGUGAAGUUGACCGCCUGGGGAGUACGGUCGCAAGAUUAAAACUCAAAUGAAUUGACGGGGU
rnacentral:rRNA from 1 species